UCUAAUCAAUUCCUUUUUUUCCUUUCCCUCAAAUUUGCUCCUUUUCGUAACCGAGCCUCCUUCACUCGAACACAAGGUUGCGCGGCGAGGGCGCCGAGCGACCUCACACUACAGUAAAGACGCUCACGGCGGCAAGGACGCUCACGGCCACUUCAAAGCCUCCAGUGCUCAACAUCUCCGCCUUCUCCAAGAUCGAAAGCAAUCAAAUCAAGAUGUUUUUUCCCCAAAUCGCAUUACAGAAUCUAGCCUUCUUUGGAAAGGGCUUAAAGCUAUCAGUAAAAAGCAAAAGUAUGACAAAAUUAGUGAGAAGAAAGUGCUUACCCCUUGGAGGUAAUUCAAAAUCCUUCUUUUACAUACUUGAGAAAAAUUUAGUUCGCCACUUUUAUUUUUAUUUCAAUUUGCAUGAUGAUUGUGAGCGAGUUUAGAUUUUUGAUGAUGUAAACCAAGCACUUUGUAAGUCAUUUCCUUCAGAAUUUACAUCUUAUUUCCACUACUGUUAAUCCUUGCGUUUUGAGGACAAGCCGGAUUAUUCAUACUUGAGGAGGUUAUUCCAUGAGCUAUUUAUUCGAGAAGGUACGGGAUAGUUGAAGCGAAAUAGACUUGGAGCUUUUGAGAAUGUCAACAUUUUGCAUAUGAAUACUUUAGAAAAAUGAAUACUUAGCUUUUGAUGUAAAUGGAUGUUAAUUUUACUAAAUGAUUACUAGACAUUUGAUAUCUAGUUUAAUGAUGUGUAGAAAUAAUUAUCAUAAAUUACUGGAUGAUAUUUUAAUAUAU